rnacentral:misc_RNA from 1 species
GCCGUGUCAAAUCGUAUCCAGCAGCACUUUUCCUGGCACGGGAUGCAGUCUUCAUAACUUCUCCAUCAGCUAGAACAACCUUGAGGUUGAUAACAUUAUCGCGCAUUGUACCAUACCUCACUGCUAAAGAACCAGAACAACGUGUAGCACACAUUCCUCCGAUGGUUGCCCCAGGUCCAGGAUCAAGGGGAAAAAAGAGACCAUACGACUCCAAGUAUUCAUUGAGCUCCAUCCAUCCAAUGCCUGGUUCAACCACCACAUCCAUGUCCUCAACAUGCAAAGCUUUGACACGAUUCAUCAAUGUCAUAUCAAUGCAAACACCACCAUAGGGAGAUAAGGUGUGUCCCUCGAUAGAGGUAGCUCCACCAUAGGGAACAAUGGGAACCUUAUGCAUGUUACAAGACUUAACUAUCUUAGACACCUCCUCCUCAGACCUUGGAUAAACUACAACAUCAGGAAUGUUUACAGCUUUAUGAAAGCUGUUCUGUGGCUUCCCGUGAACAUAUCUCUCAUCUUCAUCCAUUGUCAUCUUAUCCUGGCAAAUUCCCUUCAAUUCUUCUAUAAGCUCUGGUGGAACUUUCCUAAGAGAACCUUUCACGACAUAAUCGGUGCUACCUUUGCCACCAUUUUUCCCACUUUUUGGGUCAGAAAGUGGAGCAUCAUUCAGACAGAGUGAAGGGUAGUUCUGUGACUGCAAUGCAAGAGAACCAGCAGAGACAGCAAGGGCUAAAGGGAUUAAAGAAGCAGCCCAUGAUGGGAUUGUCCCCUGCCCCUUUCUUGAGCAAGUUACCGGCUCUGUAAGGCUAGAUGGAAUAUGGGGUCUCUGAAAAUUUGAAGUUCGUAGGUUCCUGCAAAUGGGUUUCGAGCAAGAACGUAAACGGGAAAAGAAUGAAGAGAAAGCCAUCGACUAAAGUUAU